UCUAUACGGUGAAACUGCGAAUGGCUCAUUAAAUCAGUUAUCGUUUAUUUGAUAGUACCUUACUACUUGGAUAACCGUGGUAAUUCUAGAGCUAAUACAUGCUAAAAACCCCGACUUCGGAAGGGGUGUAUUUAUUAGAUAAAAAACCAAUGCCCUUCGGGGCUCUCUGGUGAUUCAUAAUAACUUAACGAAUCGCAUGGCCUUGUGCCGGCGAUGGUUCAUUCAAAUUUCUGCCCUAUCAACUUUCGAUGGUAGGAUAGUGGCCUACCAUGGUUUCAACGGGUAACGGGGAAUUAGGGUUCUAUUCCGGAGAGGGAGCCUGAGAAACGGCUACCACAUCCAAGGAAGGCAGCAGGCGCGCAAAUUACCCAAUCCCGACACGGGGAGGUAGUGACAAUAAAUACUGAUACAGGGCUCUUUUGGGUCUUGUAAUUGGAAUGAGUACAAUUUAAAUCCCUUAACGAGGAACAAUUGGAGGGCAAGUCUGGUGCCAGCAGCCGCGGUAAUUCCAGCUCCAAUAGCGUAUAUUAAAGUUGUUGCAGUUAAAAAGCUCGUAGUUGAACCUUGGGCCUGGCUGGCCGGUCCGCCUCACCGCGUGCACUGGUCCGGCCGGGCCUUUCCUUCUGGGGAGCCGCAUGCCCUUCACUGGGUGUGUCGGGGAACCAGGACUUUUACUUUGAAAAAAUUAGAGUGUUCAAAGCAGGCCUAUGCUCGAAUACAUUAGCAUGGAAUAAUAGAAUAGGACGUGUGGUUCUAUUUUGUUGGUUUCUAGGACCGCCGUAAUGAUUAAUAGGGAUAGUCGGGGGCAUCAGUAUUCCGUUGUCAGAGGUGAAAUUCUUGGAUUUACGGAAGACUAACUACUGCGAAAGCAUUUGCCAAGGAUGUUUUCAUUAAUCAGUGAACGAAAGUUAGGGGAUCGAAGACGAUCAGAUACCGUCGUAGUCUUAACCAUAAACUAUGCCGACUAGGGAUCGGGCGAUGUUAUCUUUUUGACUCGCUCGGCACCUUACGAGAAUCAAAGUCUUUGGGUUCUGGGGGA
rnacentral:rRNA from 1 species